CCAAACAAUCGGAUAGGGUUUUAGUCCCUCCUUUCUGAGUGUAGUUCACUGAGUACUUCGUCUUCUUUGAUUUUUUGAUUUUCCUCCAACUGUUGUUGUCUUCGAAAUGGCUUCCUUCGCCGCCGCCAGAUCCGUGUUCCGCUCUGCCUCAGCCCGUAGUGCUGCGGCGCGCCUCGCCUCCAGAGGUAGCUCCGCCAAAGCUGCUCCGUCGCCCUUUCGUACCCCUGGUAGCAAACCCCUACCUCAAUGCACUUUCAGGUUCCCUGUUGAAAUGAGCUCUUGUGUGGAAACGCUGCUGCCAUACCACACGGCUACAGCUUCCUCUUUGAUGACUUCGAUGCUCUCCAUUACUCGCCGCAGUUGUGGUUGGCUUCCUGAAGGUAUCUAGCAAUGUUUCUAGGAGACUAGGACAUCUUGAUGUUCUUUACUUCCUUUCAACUUUCUGCUGCCAAUGAUGAUGUGUGAUAAAAAUCGGAGGAUUCAGGACUGUUUUGUGUACAAAUUCAGUAUUCUAAGACAGUAACUGCUGAUAAAUUAGAAGUUUUGAAUGAGCAGCUGAAGAGACAACUUCAAUUUCAUGAGCCUCCAAACCUAGAUCAAUUGAUAGUUUCUUUCCAUUCCCCCCAAUUCCUUUAAGAUGUUAUUCGAAACUUAACGUUGAGUUCUUUGACAUCAAGUCGAGAUGUAUUCCAGAUUAUUGACUUAAGUCACAGUUUAGAACUUUUGUUUCAUGUGUGAAUGUUAAUAAAAUCAAUGGCGUAAUACUAA